rnacentral:rRNA from 1 species
AGCUCCAAUAGCGUAUAUUAAAGUUGUUGCAGUUAAAAAGCUCGUAGUUGAACUUCAGGCCCGGCCGGAUGGUCUGCCUAACGGUGUGUACUGUUUGGCUGGGUCUUACCUCUUGGUGAGCCGGUAUGUCCUUUACUGGAUGUGUCGGGGAACCAGGACUUUUACCUUGAGAAAAUCAGAGUGUUCAAAGCAGGCCUUUGCCCGAAUGCAUUAGCAGGGAAUAAUAAAAUAGGACGUGUGGUUCUAUUUUGUUGGUUUCUAGGAUCGCCGUAAUGAUUAAUAGGGACAGUUGGGGGCAUUAGUAUUCAGUUGCUAGAGGUGAAAUUCUUGGAUUUACUGAAGACUAACUAUUGCGAAAGCAUUUGCCAAGGAUGUUUUCA